AGAAAACAAGUUGUUUUUAUUUUAAUUCAAGAGGGUUGGAAAGGUAGAAACAGUACAUUUUCCUUGCAGAAAAUUACCCCAUUUAAAUUACGUUUGAUACAAAGAUCAUUUAUUAAACUGUAUUUUAAGCAAUUUUCUAACAUUGAGUGACAGGUUACAUUUUGAUUUUUUUCACAUUGGAGCUAUUAUGAUUUGCACUCAAAAUACCAAAGCUAUUGAACUCACCAUUUUUUCUUAGUAAUUAAAAAAAAAAGCACACAGAAAAAAUAACUACGAUUAAUUUUAUCAAAAGUAACUCUUUCACAAAACCAAACAUCCAGCAAAGACCAC
rnacentral:lncRNA from 1 species